rnacentral:snRNA from 1 species
GUACUUGCCUCAGUAGUGCAUGUACUAAAAUUAGAACAAUCGGAGUAACAUUAGUAUGGCCACUGUGCAGGGAUGACAUGUAAACUCUUGAAGUAUUCCAUAUUUUU